rnacentral:rRNA from 1 species
AGAUACCCUGGUAGUCCACGCUGUAAAACGAUGUCGAUUUAGAGGUUGUGGUCUUGAACCGUGGCUUCUGGAGCUAACGCGUUAAAUCGACGCCUGGGGAGUACGGCCGCAAGGUUAAAACUCAAAUGAAUUGACGGGGGCCCGCACAAGCGGUGGAGCAUGUGGUUUAAUUCGAUGCAACGCGAAGAACCUUACCUACUCUUGACAUCCAGCGAAUCCUUUAGAGAUAGAGGAGUG